AUGACUAUCUUCAGUUUUGCAUGUUUCAGAUUUUAGAGAGAGAGAGAAGGCUAAGAUGAGAGAACGAGAUGCUGCCAAAAUAUUAUGACAUCUUGAAAAAGAAGAAGCAAACUACAAGCAUGAAGAGUAAAGAGAAAGGGAAGAAGGCACAAGUUUUAACGUGGUUCGGUCUCAAAACUACCUACAUCUACGGAGGAGUUGGAUUCAAGUGUUGGAGAUUUCUUUGAAGAACUUUUUACAUAUGAGUUUAGCUAGCUUUCUACUCUAUUUUUCUGUACAUCAAAUGAACUAGCUACAUAUGUAUUUAUACAGGACUUUCAAAGUAAAUCAUUUACAACAAAUUUUGUUUAAGUUGAUUUCAACAUGUUUCUUUAACAAAUCUCCACCUUGAAAUUAACUUCAACAAGUUUUAACUCCUCUUGUACUGACUUUAUCUUCUUUAUCCCUUGUCUCUCAGCUUAAACCCGAUCAUGUUGAGGCAUUUUUGAAGUUUGAGCUGGGUGACUGCUUUGGUUAACAUGUCAAAGGAAUUCUCAGAGGCUCUAAUACCACUUUGUUGGGCUUUGUUUACAUUGAUAAUGGGCUUUGGAUAAACCCACCAAGGCCUAAAGCUGAAACCUUCAGCUCAAACCAACUGAAAAGAAAGAAACUAGUGGCCUUUGAUUCUGUGUGCUAAAAAGCACAAUCCGUGUUACAAGAUAUUAGCCUUACACGUUGAGGGCUGAGAUUUUCUUUACCACUCACACAAUCAGAGUGCCUUUGAAUGACUAUCUUCAGUUUUGCAUUUUUCAGAUUUUAGAAAGAGAGAGAGAUAAGCUCAAGAGAGAAGGCUGAGAUGAGAGAACGAGAUGCUACCAAAAUCUUGUGAGAUCUUGAAGAAGAAGAAGAAGCAAAUUAUAAGUAUGAAGAGUAAAGAGAAAGGGAAGAAGGAAGACACAGGUUUUAAUGUGGUUCGACCUCAAAACUGCCUACAUCCACGGAAGAGCUGGAUUCAAGUCUUGGAGAGUUCUUUGAAUAACUUUUUACAUAUGAGUUUAGCUAGCUUUCUACUCUAUUUUUCUGUACAUCAAAUGAACUAGCUAUUUAUGUAUUUAUACAUUACUUUCAAAGUAAAUCAGUUACAACAAACUUUGUUUAAGUUGA